AGGACUAUAGCUCAGUGGUAGAGCACCUCGUUUACACCGAGAAUGUCUACGGUUCGAAUCCGUAUAGUCCUA
rnacentral:tRNA from 1 species